UGUAUCUUGCCUUCUUAGAUGGGUCACUACCCACUAGUGCUAGAGAUUCUAGACAUGGAAAAUACAGUUAUGCACAUCACGUGUACAUUGUCUGUGGACAUGGAAUUGUGUUGCUGGCCAUGGUACAUUUGAAAAUUUUGCCACUUUCGGUGUUCUUACAUUUUGAUAACUUUGUUGCAGGCAGAGAAGACUUCAGUUCUUUCUACUUUGAUCAACAGGACAAAUGCACAGGAAUUGAAGCGGAUUGUCAUGAUAAUUCUUAAAGGUAAUCUAAAGCUGGUCUGUGAGAGGCUAAGGGAUCGGAGCCAACGGCAUAAGCGCCAGGUUGAGUUCAGAUACGGCAUAAUUUUUGAGAGCUCUGUUUUUUCUGGACUGGAAUUUGAAUCUUGUUUGACUUCUUCUGUACUGCAGUAUAGCUUGAGUUUUAAGUUGCAUCUGGCUUGUUUUUCAAUUUAAAUCCAUAUCAUGACCUACAAUUUGUCUCCGCAUACUUGUAAGGUACGUGUAGCCUUUUCUGGAUUGGCAAAUCAAGGGACUUCAUUAAGGAACCAUAUAUCAUGGUGAACUUUUCAAAGUUACUAUUGCUAGUGGAAUUGCAUGGAGCUUAUACUGGGUAUUGGCCUAUUGGGUGCAGGAUAUAGAAAUUGGGAAACCAGUGCGCCCCCAACUUGCAAUGAGAGUUGGUAAUGCUGCAACAGCUUGGAAAAGGGUCUUAUUCAAUGAAUUUUUCCGCAGCAUCAUAACAAAUGGGAUAUAUAUAUAUAUAUAUCAUCUCAAGAUUGCACUACAGUUGCCUAAUGGCCAUCACCACGAUAAACUGAUCCACUUUUCCAGGUUUUUUCACAUAGAUGGAUGGUAUCCUUGUAGUGCAUCCUCUUAACCUUAGAAUAGUGGAUUAUAUAUUAUUUUGAUUUGUAAUAAUUUAUAUGAUUAUCAUCUUACGGAUAGCUUCAUGGGAAAGAAGUGAUCGUUGAAUGCAAAUUUGAUGGCGAUCGCAUUCAAAUUCAUAAGAAUGGAACUGAGGUGCAUUUCUUCUCCAGGUAUAUAUCACAUUUACUGUACUCUUGUUUAGCUGCUUCAAAUAUUUUUAUUUUAUUUUUUGGGGUGAUUUACAAUCUCGUGUUUGAAGUAUACAUAUGGCAUCUCCUUGUUUGGUGUGAAAGCUGUGCAAUGCUUGCAGGAGCUUCCUUGAUCAUUCCGAAUAUGAGCAUGGGAUGUUGGACAUUAUUGUUCAGAGUAUUCUGGUUGAUAGGAUGGGUUUUACUUGCUGAAAAGGACAGAUCCUAAGUUGCAAAUCCAAAAAUUGAAAUCUUGACUCACUUGAAGCAAUAGACAGAUGCAUACAGAACUUGUUUUUGACCAAGAACACUUUGGAGGUUAAAAGCCUGAUGGGUUAAAAGCAUGAUUCCCGAAAGUUCUAACAUCAAUGUACACAUUAAUAUUUUUUGGGUCCAAAAGAGCCAUGGUUUAAAUAAUGCAUACAUUGACAUUGAGAUGGAAUUACGCUAGCUUGCUUAUGGACAUCUUAAGGAUGCUUAGAAGAAAAUCAAAUGCUGGAGUAUAUUGUCCUAUACUUAGAUUGGGAGAUGCAAGUCAAGGGGGUCAGCAUAUCAUGAGAAGCAACUAUGUCAAUGGAUCCAGUGGAAGUGUGACCGUGACUUACAUUUUUAGCAAGAUUAGAGGUGGCUGUAGCUUUUCCUAAUGUGCAUUUUUUAUGGUGAAAUGCUUGUAUGGGACAAGUGUUCGAAUUGUUUCUCUGAGUUUGGUUCAAAUCAAGAAAUUGCCAAGGCAGCUAGGGAAGGACUUGCAGUGAUAGACACUAGACAGUUGUGCUUUUGGCAUUCAAAGGCUUGUCAACAGUGAUUGAUUGGUUCAGGAAAUUAGAACCCAUUUGUGAGAAAUUUAGUUGUGAGUAGGUACUGGAGCAUACAUAACAUCUGAAUAAUGGCUUAAUAGGAUGUGGAUAUCAGACAGACCGACCUUUGAUUCACUUUUCUAAAUUGUGGAUGCUUUACACUUUCAAAUUCUCAUUUUCACCUUUGGUGGAGCUGUUAGCAAGCCAGAUGAAACUUACUCUGAUGUCAUCAAAAAGAAAGGAAAUGCUGUUUGAAGACCAUAUUCAGUGGCUCAACUCUCUGCUCCUCUGCUGUGAGAUCUAUUGCAAAUGAUAUUGUCUCUUCGGUAACACAAAUAGUUUUCCUUGGAGCAUCUCCUUUUUGUCUCUCUGUUUGUGCAAAUCUCAACUCGAAAAUAUUGGUUCUUGUCAACAAAUAAGAGUUUACGUUGACAUUUACUAUAACCAGAUGUUGCAUUUGAUAGUCUUUAUUCUGGGGAUACCAGUGUCAUUCACCAAAGCAUAAAGGCAUGAGCUUCUUCGAAAAGUUGCGAAGCCUACAAAGGGUCAUUUGGAAAUCUUAGUACCUGAUGGGGGUCUUAACACACGACAUCAUCCGGAUAGAGAAACAACUGUUGAUCUUAUACUGGGACAUCCUGAAUUUCUAAGAGUAAUACCUGACUUAGUUUGCUCGUGGACACGUCACAGGAGAGCCUUGUUGGUUGCUCAUUUGGAUGAUGUUGAAAGGUUCUUUAAGGAAACAAUCGAGAACAGGUGAGGCAUCCUAUCUGUUUCGGAAACUGCAUAAUGCUGUCUGAACUAAUAAACUGCUAAAAUUGGGUGAAUGUAAUAACUUUAUUUCUUGUGCAAUGUUAAAUUUUAAUGGUGAAAGUUUGAAAAGGUCGCUCUUUCAUUAUGGCAAUUGAUGAUUUAGUUAUUCUCUAUUUUUCCUUGUUUGUUGUGGCUUUAGUUCUUCUUGCUAUUAUUUUAUGUAUAAACAUGUGGCUGUCACUUUAUUGUAUAUUAUUUCAAUAGGAUUUCAUGUGGCUUAAUUUUCUUAAAUUUUGGAUGCCGAAGUGCUGUUAGAUACAUAUUUCUGUCGAUCAAUAUGGAAUGAAUUGGUGGGCUUGCUGGUUGAGUUCUUGAAGAUUUGGCAUCACUUUUACAGCCUAAAAUUCCUUCAUUGAUUCCGCAAUUUGUAUGUAUAUUUGCUUUCAUUAGAACUGCUAGUUGUAUUAAUCAAGGUUUGUCUUCUUACAUAGAGAUGAAGGAAUUUUCUUGAAAGACCUUGGUUCCAAAUGGGAACCAGGUGAUCGGAGUGGAAAGUGGUUAAAGCUAAAGCCGAACUAUAUUCGUGCUAGCUCUGAUCUCAAUGUUUGUUGUCAUAGGUGAAUAUCUGUUUUUUUUUACUACGUACAGCUUAACAAUUUGAGGCAGUAUAUCCUCGAUUGCUUAGGCCAUAACAUUGUUUUCUUCUCAUCGUUCCAUCUGUAAGAGGAUAUUACGGCUCUGGGUGUUGUGGAGGGGAGGUGAUUCCAGCUCUAAUACAUAAUCUGACCCUUGAUCUGCAAUUAGUGCUGCUUUGGGUGGAACUUCUAUUGAUUCAUAUAGAAAUACAGGUAGCUCAAUUCUUGGUUGGUCUUGCAGAACGUCCUGCUUUAAAUACAUGUCCAAGACGGUACUUUCCUUCAGCAACCAUUCUCAUCUAUACCCUUGACUUCUUGGGUAUUAUAUUGCUGCAUCUGAAAUAUACUUCCAAGAAAAAGGUCAAUAGUUAUUCAUUUCAUGGACUUCUCUAUUUAUUUUAUUGGGUGAGCUUAUCUAUCAACAGUGGCAAUGCAGCUUAUUUCAACCUUAUGGUCGUAGGAUGGAUGAGGAACCACUUUAGAGUCUAAAUUAUAAAAGUGACUUGGAUUUGAUAUUGCUAUAUCUACUGCCCUCUAGUGGGUCUUCCUUUUAUUGCUAAAUCCUGAUCCCAGAGAGGAACUGGUGUAUUGAGGUUCGAGACAUCCAUAGCCAGGGGAAUGCUUGUGCCGAUUGGAUGGCGAGACGAGCUUUAAGCCUUUCCCUUGGCUCCCAGUUCUUUGUCCAGCCCCACAAGGGCUCAGAGGCACUUCUCAUGGGUGACGUAGUUGGGGUCUCCAUGCCCCGCCAUUGUACUCCUUAGUCGUUUCUUUCUUGUAUUGCAGGCUUCAGCCUCCCAAAGUACCAGAAAAAAAAAAAUCCUGAUCCCAGGAUCAACCAUUCUAAUAUAUCACAAAAUGAAGGAUAAUGGAUCUAACUGCAUCAAUAUAUUGCAGUUUCAUAUCCUUCUGCAGGGUUGGUACAGGGCUUUCAGAUGCUGUUGUGACCAAAUUAAAGCCACGUUUCAGGAAAUAUGAAAUACCCGAAGAAGGGACCCCUGAGCUUUCAUUAGGUUACCAAUCACUUGAAGGAGAGACCAGAUGUCCGGGUGGAAAGCCCUGAGAAACAACCAGAACAGAAGAUCCAGCUGAGGCUUAUCCGAAUCAGAGGAGGUUGGGCCUUGAAGUUCAUUGGGGUGGUGGGAAAGCAAGCAAAAAGUCUUGCUCUCGCAGAUGCUACACACUUGGUAGUACUGAAAGUACCGGGAUUGGCAGCAGGCUUGCAUGCACUAACUGAUAGGUGCGUCUUUAAAUUUUGUAAACAGUCCUCUUGGACAUUGUUCCAAGCAGUAGUAUGUGAUUGCAAAAUUUGUCUUUAAUGAACUUCCAAGAAAAAAAAAGCCUCUCUGUGAGACACCUCAUAGACUGAUGUAUCUGUCUGCACAAAAGCACAAUUAUUUUUAUCUGAUAGUAAUUUUUCAAUCAGCAAUCUAUGCCUGAAUGAGCAGGUAGCUUCUAACCAUUGAGUGGGAAGUCAUGCACAAUAUUUACUUGGGGGAAUGGGAGAUGUGUGCACUAGGAGUGAACUUGAAUUGGUCCCUUAGCUAAAAGCAGAGAGCUUCAAGUCUCACUCUAUUUUGUACCGCUUCGGUGCAAAAGAGAAGCAGCUUCUUGAGAAAAAGCAACUUGCAUGUCGUGAGUUAGUUCAAAAUGGUUGGGAGACUGCUUAGAGAGUGAUCGGAAGUUGCCCGAGGACCCAUAUAACUUACACCUUGCAGUAGUAGAUGAGUCGGUCAAGAUAUAUGAGUUGGAAGUUCUGCUCUCUCUUCCAUCGUAAAAGUUCUUGUAAGUUCUAGAAUCUAUCCCUUGCAGAAGAGGUUUGUGGACAAAUAUAUUGUCCUUUGAUGCUUGCUGAAUUUAGGAAUCACAGUAUGGUUUUGCAGAUGAUGAAUGUCUUUUAGAAGUUUGCUGAUGUUUCUCAUCUGUACAUAACUGAGGUGUUUGCUUUAACAUUUUGUU